rnacentral:rRNA from 1 species
UACGUAGGGUGCAAGCGUUGUCCGGAAUUAUUGGGCGUAAAGAGCUCGUAGGCGGUUUGUCGCGUCUGCUGUGAAAACUCAGGGCUUAACUCUGAGCUUGCAGUGGGUACGGGCAGACUAGAGUGCGGUAGGGGAGACUGGAAUUCCUGGUGUAGCGGUGAAAUGCGCAGAUAUCAGGAGGAACACCGGUGGCGAAGGCGGGUCUCUGGGCCGUAACUGGACGCUGGAGGAAGCGAAAGCAUGGGGAGCGAACAGG